rnacentral:rRNA from 1 species
UACGGGGGGAGCAAGCGUUGUUCGGAUUUACUGGGCGUAAAGGGCGCGUAGGCGGCCACUGCAAGUCAGUUGUGAAAUCUCCGGGCUUAACCCGGAAAGGUCAACUGAUACUGCAGGGCUAGAGUGCAGAAGGGGCAACUGGAAUUCUUGGUGUAGCGGUGAAAUGCGUAGAUAUCGAGAGGAACACCGGUGGCGAAGGCGGCCCACUGGUCCGGUACUGACGCUGAGGUGCGAAAGCGUGGGGAGCAAACAGG